rnacentral:rRNA from 1 species
UGGGGAAUUUUGUGCAAUGGGCGAAAGCCUGACACAGCGACACCGCGUGAACGAAGAAGCCCUUUGGGGUGUAAAGUUCUGUCAGCAGGGACGAAAAAAAUGACGGUACCUGCAGAGGAAGCAUCGGCUAACUACGUGCCAGCAGCCGCGGUAAUACGUAGGAUGCAAGCGUUGUCCGGAUUUAUUGGGCGUAAAGAGUUCGUAGGUGGUUCGUUAAGUCUGGUGUUAAAGACUGGGGCUCAACCCCGGGAAUGCCCUGGAUACUGGCGGACUGGAGUGAAGUAGAGGCAAGCGGAAUUCCAGGUGUAGCGGUGAAAUGCGUAGAUAUCUGGAAGAACACCGGUGGCGUAAGCGGCUUGCUGGGCUUUAACUGACGCUGAGGAACGAAAGCUAGGGGAGCGAAUGGGAUUAGAUACCCGGGUAGUCC